rnacentral:rRNA from 1 species
CGAAAGCCUGACGGAGCAAUACCGCGUGAGGGACGAAGGUCUGUGGAUUGUAAACCUCUUUUGUUGGGGAAGAUAAUGACGGUACCCAACGAAUAAGCAUCGGCUAACUCCGUGCCAGCAGCCGCGGUAAGACGGAGGAUGCAAGCGUUAUCCGGAAUUAUUGGGCGUAAAGCGUACGUAGGCUGUUUUAUAAGUCUGUUGUCAAAGCGCGAGGCUCAACCUUGUAAAGGCAAUGGAAACUGUGAGACUAGAGAGAGAUAGGGGCAGGAGGAAUUCCAGGUGUAGCGGUGAAAUGCGUAGAUAUCUGGAAGAACACCAGUGGCGAAAGCGUCCUGCUGGAUCUCAACUGACGCUGAAGUACGAAAGCUAGGGGAGCG